UUCUAUAAAAAAUUAUACAAGCCAAUGAUACUAGGAAAUCACAAGACAAAUGCUAUCCGGACCCCUCAAAGCCAAAAGACAAGAGAAGCCCAAGCCAAAGGACCAAAAUCCGGCCCAGCCAGAUUUUGCCUUGUGGCGCCCGCCAUAGACCCUGUGGCGCCUGCCACAACGUCUGUAAAAGGUCGGGGCAAAACCCUUUUCUUCACCAUUUUCACACCUUACAACCUUCCAAACCCAUUUUUUCACCUUGGAAAAACAUCCUUGAACCCACAAAAAGCUCAUACCUUUCUACUCACCACACCGUACAAAUCAUUUUUCCGAUUUCCAUUUUCAUUUUCAUCCGUCGGAUUUCGUAAAAAUCCAACCUUUUC
rnacentral:lncRNA from 1 species